GAUGAAGAACUCAGCGAAAUGCGAUAAGUAGUGUGAAUUGCAGAAUUCAGUGAAUCAUCGAAUCUUUGAACGCACAUUGCGCCUCCUGGUAUUCCGGGAGGCAUGCCUGUUCGAGCGUCAUUAAAAUCACUCAAGCUUAGGUUUACCUAUUGCUUGGUCUUGGAGAUGGAAGCCAAUUUAUUGGAAUCCUCUUCGAAAUUCAAUGGCGAAGACCCUUGCUCUCCCAAGUGUAGUAAUAACUUAUGUCACUGAAGGAAGCGAGAAAUCUUCUGCCGUAACCCCCAUAUUUUCUAUGAUUGACCUCGGAUCAGGUAGGGAUACCCGCUGAACUUAAGCAUAUCAAUAAGCGGAGGA
rnacentral:misc_RNA from 1 species